AUUGAACGCUGGCGGCAGGCCUAACACAUGCAAGUCGAGCGGAGCGGCGGACGGGUGCGUAAUGCCUAGGAAUCUGCCAGGUAGUGGGGGAUAACGUCCGGAAACGGGCGCUAAUACCGCAUAAUAUCAGAUGAGGCUAGGUCGGAUUAGCUAGUGGGUGGGGUAAAGGCCUACCAAGGCGACGAUCCGUAACUGGUCUGAGAGGAUUAUCAGUCCCACUGGAACAGAGACACGGUCCAGACUCCUACGUGAGGCAGCAGGGGGGAAUAUUAGACAAUGGGCGAAAGCCUGAUCCAGCCUGGCCGCUUGUGUGAGGAAGGUCUUCGGAUUGUAAAGCACUUUAAGUUGGGAGGCGUUACCAACGUAAUAGGCACCAGCUGACUUCGUGCCAGCGGCCGCGGUAAUUC
rnacentral:rRNA from 1 species